rnacentral:rRNA from 1 species
GGCUCAGGACGACGCUGGCGGCGUGCCUAACACAUGCAAGUCGAGCGAGGAGAUUCCUUCGGGAUGAUCCUAGCGGCGGACGGGUGAGUAACACGUGGGCAACCUGCCUCAUAGAGAGGAAUAGCCUUCCGAAAGGGAGAUUAAUACCUCAUAACAUUGCAGUUUCGCAUGGAACAGCAAUUAAAGGAGUAAUCCGCUAUGAGAUGGGCCCGCGGCGCAUUAGCUAGUUGGUGAGGUAACGGCUCACCAAGGCGACGAUGCGUAGCCGACCUGAGAGGGUGAUCGGCCACAUUGGGACUGAGACACGGCCCAGACUCCUACGGGAGGCAGCAGUGGGGAAUAUUGCACAAUGGGGGAAACCCUGAUGCAAGCAACGCCGCGUGAGUGAUGACGGCCUUCGGGUUGUAAAGCUCUGUCUUCAGGGACGAUAAUGACGGUACCUGAGGAGGAAGCCACGGCUAACUACGUGCCAGCCGCAGC